rnacentral:rRNA from 1 species
UAGGGAAUCUUCCACAAUGGGCGAAAGCCUGAUGGAGCAACGCCGCGUGUGUGAUGAAGGGUUUCGGCUCGUAAAACACUGUUGUAAGAGGAAGAAUGACAUUGAGAGUAACUGUUCAAUGUGUGACGGUAUCUUACCAGAAAGGAACGGCUAAAUACGUGCCAC